ACUGUCGUCCCACCCAGCUUCUUCCUUCACCAACAUGCAAAGUUCUUUUCCUUCCCCGCCAGCUAGAGAGGCAGAUAGGAGAGGCAGGUGGGGGCCUUCUUUGUCUGG